rnacentral:rRNA from 1 species
AUUGAACGCUGGCGGCAUGCCUUACACAUGCAAGUCGAACGGUAACAGGUCUUCGGAUGCUGACGAGUGGCGAACGGGUGAGUAAUGCAUCGGAACGUGCCCAGUAGUGGGGGAUAGCCCGGCGAAAGCCGGAUUAAUACCGCAUACGACCUGAGGGUGAAAGGGGGGGAUCGCAAGACCUCUCGCUAUUGGAGCGGCCGAUGUCCGAUUAGCUAGUUGGUGGGGGAAAGGACUACCAAGGCAACGGUCUGUAGUUGGUCUGAGAGGACGACCAGCCACACUGGGACUGAAACACGGCCCAGACUCCUACGGGAGGCAGCAGUGGGGAAUUUUGGACAAUGGGCGCAAGCCUGAUCCAGCAAUGCCGCGUGCAGGAAGAAGGCCUUCGGGUUGUAAACUGCUUUUGUCAGGGAAGAAAUCUUCUGGGUUAAUACCUCGGGAGGAUGACGGUACCUGAAGAAUAAGCACCGGCUAACUACGUGCCAGCAGCCGCAGUAA